GGGACUGAGACUGUGCAUGCCCUCACUUGUACACUCUGGAGCAAACUCUGCUCAGCUGACUACAAACCUGACAGUCCAAUGUAAGAAGAAGCAAGCUCCUUGCUUGCCCGGGGUCCUUGAAUAGGCUGCAUCGUCGUCCUAGGUGCUCACUGGAGGGAGCCACUCCUCAGAGGAGGAGGCCUCUGGCCAGUUUCUGCAUCCUAUAACUAUGGAGACAAGUAACUGGGCUGAAAGGAAAGGCAACAGUUUUUCAAGACACCUGGUCAGUGAUGCUUCCAGGCACACCCAGCCAAGAAGUAGAGGAAUUCACCCGAAAGCCUGCUGUGGGUGUAACCGGAGACCCUCCCUCUACAGAUGUGCAAGUCCUAGCCUAGGCAAAUUUGAUCUUAUCUAGAAGAGGGAUAUUUGAAGACCACACGGUUAAGGCUUGAUCGCUGCGGAGACAGACAUGCGCACAGGGAGAACGCCGGUAGAGAUGAAGGCAGAGAUUUGUAAAGCGCCUCCAAGCCAAGAAAUGUAGAGACUGCCAGAAAGCCAACAGGCACAGGAGAAGUGGGAACAGUCUCUCUCUCAAAGCCCUGCACGGAGCCAACCCAGCCGGGACUUUGAUCUUAGAUUGGCCUCCGGAGCUGUGAGACAAUACAUUUCUGACAUUUGAGUCGCCCAGUCUGUGGUACUUUGUUGUGACCCCCUAGGACACUGAACAGUGUCUGACUCAACAACCUAUGACUUAAGCCACCCAGUUACACAGCACUUGUGUUGAACAAUUUGCUGCUAGGUUCUGGAGCCUAAACUCCGCUGUCCUGUCUGCUCUGGUCGCUUUCCUUCAUUGCCUCCUUCACACUGUCUUCUCCACACUUGCAUCUGAAGCCAUGUCUACCUUUUCUGCCAAAUGCUACUCAAGUCUCCGGGUCAUUCCCCACCCCCACCCCAGAUCUCUGGGGAUUGCAGCAUAAUAAACUGUACUUAGACCUCUGGGGUGUGGCUCUUGUUCCUCCGCACCUUAUCUGAAAUGCUGUCCUCUGUUCACCCGGAGAGCUCCAGGGUGCUUCCGGUCUCCCUUCUCCAAGAAGCAUUCAAACAGCACCUUUAAUAAGCCAGUGGAUACGGUCAUCCUCUGUGGUGGCUACAAUGUUCUGGGGUGGUAAAUUCUUCAAAACAUGCUCCCCAGACUGCUGAUCCUGCAUUCUUCUUCCUUGGGGGGGGGGCUUCUCGAAUUUGCUUUACCAUAUAAAAAGGAUACACCUUAAAUAACUCUGUACUUGGCCUAUAGCUACCUUAACAACAGGGCUUUCAAUAUGAAGAACCCCUUAUUCCAGCUUUGUUCCUCUCGGCACUCUGUUUUAGCAAGCUCCAUCAUCACCAGUCUGAAACAGCCAUAGAAGAGAUUCUGGACCCUGGAAACCUUUAACUGUGGACAGUAAGAGCACUCAAAUGAAAUGAACAUCCAGGUCGGCCUGCAUCCCCUCCACUUCCAGAAGGAGGCAGAGGCCCCAUUCCUCUACGAUCAGAGCACAGGCAGACUGGGAGCAGAAGGCAGCCCAAGGACAACAGCUUGGGCAGUGUAGCCCACUGGGACUCUGGCCUUUGAAGGUUACACAGGUUUGCAGGAGCUCAGCAGACAAUGCUUCCCCUUCCGGGGACAAUCAGUCCAACGUUCAUGAGGAAACCUCUACCUGCACACAUUUCCAGAGGAGGCUGAGGCAUGCCUCUCCUCAGCAGAUUCCGGCCAGGACUGAAGGCUCCAUACCUAGAGGGCAAAGGGGGAUGAGGAAAACCACCCAGAAAAGGAGACCUUCCUUCCCGAGACAGGAAAACCAAGCAGAGGCUGUCCCAUGGAGGGGACAGCCUUGGAGAUGCCAAGGAGUGCGGGGUCUGUUUGAGAACUGAGCAAACCAAGAGGGGAAGGAGGUGGAAGCUGAUGAGCUACUACAAGAACUCUCCUGCCAAGCACCGAGUGCAGGAACAGAGCCAGCAGCAGGGUCUCGUCAGCCCAGCGGAGAUUUUAAGAAGCCAGAGUUGAUCAUAGCUGCAGAACACUGACACGUCUAAUUUGUUUCUUUUCUUUUUCCUUAUAAAAUCUGAGCCAAGAAGAGUUCACACAUAUCCAGGAAACCAUUGUGGUCCUCACCGAGGAAGCGUCUGGGAAAUGCCUGAUGCACUCAUGGUACAAAUUGCCCCUCCAGCCUGAGCAUUAUACAAACCUGUACUCUGAAGAUCUGAGGAAGUUUGAGAGAAGGCCUUCCUCUCCCCACUCCCUGUACCACACUCCUCUUUACUCCUGCCGGAUCCCUCUCUUCCUUUCUCUUCUUCAGACUGGCAAAGAUCCCACGGUGGUUCUAAGUUCUCAGCAGCCCGUUUGCAAGCGACCGAGACAGAAGCACUCCCCUCUCCUCUGUGAGGUGGGCCCUAAGUAUGUUUAAAGCAGGCCUGCAUCACGAUUGAUCACAGGUGACCCGAGGCCAGGCCACUUGCGCUGUCUGACAGCAACCAGCUGGACUGCUAUUCCAAACUAACAAAAGUAUUAGAAUACAAUAGAGGUUAUCGCAAUCAGAUCGUCUUUUCAGAAUGGUAAAUCAGCUCUUAAAAUGGAAAUGCAUCACGCCAUUUCACAUUCAUUUUCUGUUUCUAGAUUCUAAUUAUUUCAGAGGAGGAUGCUGGAGCCUCUUGCCUCACAUGCUUCCUUGAGGCUUGAGUGUGAACAAUGCUCAUGCUAGUCCGGGAGGAGCUUGGAGCAGACUGGAUGGAAUAUUUCUGCUUCUGGGGUUCUGGGGGAGGCUACGGACUCUCCUUGAGCAUCUAACAGCCGCCUUCCUCAGAUCACUGUCUCUGGCCCCAUGAGGAAUGGCUUGUACCCCCACUAUUGCCUGAAACACAGACACACAGAUGUUAUCGUUGGAAAAGCAGGGAGCUCACCAGUCAGAAUGGGUGUAGUGAUAGAGGAAAGCUCUGGAAUCUCUCUGAUGCUGGCUGUUCAACAUUUAGUAGUGAGAUCUAUGGUUUCCAGAGGAAGAUCCACUUGGAGGCAUUCAGUGGGGGCUCCAGGGCUCUCUAGAUGCUCCCACUAAUACAGGCAGAACAGUACUUUGGUAUUUCUCCUCACAAGGCUGUGGGCAGUUUGAGAGUAUGGGUGCUGUCCUGCUCAAGUACCUAGUACACACUGGCUAAUAACAGGUGCUUGUAAGUACCUGUGCAAACUUGAAUUCUACCUGUUUAUUUCGACAUUUGGUAUUUUUACUGUUGUAGGCAGUCUGGGGGAUGUAAACAGUUAAGAGCCGAAGCCUCCCUUCAGUGAGUUUUCAGCCUAGUUCCCAGACUCUGGUAGAGACUGUCUUAUUCACCCUGGCAUCCCAGUGUCUACAGAGCUUGGUUGGGAGCAGACCUCAGCCGGCUUGAUUGAUUGGCUGUCACCCCAUGUGUCUGGGCUGGAGGAGUUGCUUCAGACAGGUCACUCAUCAUCUCCCCUCCAAAUCUGCCAGCCCAGCAAACAGCUUGCAGAAUCAUUCCCAGCAAUCCCACACAUGACUGUGGUCAACCAGGAACACAAGCCCCGAGAACACAACGCUCCUCUCUUCCUCCAGCUCUUUCAAAAUGAACUGGAGUAUUAAAACGGG